rnacentral:tRNA from 1 species
GUCAAGGUAGUAGAAUAAAUAUAUUAGAUUUAGGAUCUAAUGGUAAGAUAAUCAUCUUUCUUGAUG